rnacentral:piRNA from 4 species
UGGUGGUCUAGUGGUUAGGAUUCG